CCUACAUACAUUUAAUUAACAACUAAAAGCUUAAACCGGCAAGCUUCCACCUA
rnacentral:tRNA from 1 species